rnacentral:lncRNA from 7 species
GGGCUCGGCAAAAAACCUCUCGGAUCCUGGAAACGCGUCCUGGGACGGAGCUGGAGCACUGCUGCUGGGGCUUUGGGUGGCUGAUGGAGCUCUCCAGGCGUGCGGAGAAAGGCUGGGGACGCUUUGUCUGGAGAUGGAGUACAAUGAUCCUCAAGAUGGAGAGAGCUCUGCCAAUGCAAGAGCAUCCUGAAUGCCAACCUUGGGAAGUCUGUUGAGGGAACACUGGGGAAGCAAAUGCAGCCUGGCUCCACUCUAGGAGAAAGACAAUGAGAAGGGGAAGAAGCAUAUGAAUGUAGAAGACUGACUCCCACCUUGCACUAUGCUGCAUGCUAGGCAGGACCACACAUCACCUCCUUUUCACCUGAGUCAAUGGGUGCCACUUGCGGACAGGAACUAGGAGAUAGAUAGGAAGUGGGGAUGAGAACCUGUGAAGAGAUACCCUCUCAACCGAGCCCUGGUAUAGACAUCCCAUGCUGGAUGGUGCAGACAAGAGGAUGGACUGACAAGGGGAGACAGGAGUCAGGUCUUACAACUACAAAGAUCAGCAGUUGUGGUCCCAGCACCACCAGAGUCCCCUUACAGGACAAGGGUGAGUUUUGGUAGGGACAGCCAUGGCAUAGAAGGUCUUAGCCUGGACUCUGUCCCCCUGCAGCCCUACAGGCAGGAAAGUUGUCCUGCCUGUAAUGCCAACCCAGUGCGGAAGCAAGCCUUGACCCACUCUGGAUGCCCUUGAUGGUUACUCCCAAGGAACAAAUGUCUCAGCUGAACAUCUUGUGGCUGCUAUGGUUUCCAGAGUAGGUUCCAAAAAAAAAAACAGGGACUUGCUUGAAGAGUGCCAGCCUGCACCGAAGUGGGUUGAUUGUCGUGUGGGUCCCAAGGCUGCCCUAUGAACAGGUAGAGCCACAGCUAAAAGACUUUCCCUCCUCCCUGCUGAAAAUGUACUCACAUGUAUUUCUCCUCUCACUUUUUCUCCAUACCCAAACGGCAUUCACGCAAGGAGGGUGAGCUGGGGAAAACAGCAUCAAUUAAACAUCUACUUCUCUGUGAGGAACACUUCAUGUGACAGUGGCAGCCACCUCACCACCCAGCCCUGACAGUCACAACACUGGGGUGGUGACAGGGAGAGACUGCAAGAGCAGAGGGUCUCCUAGACAUGACAAACUUGCCAUGCUCUUCUCAACAAGUAUGCAGAAAAUCAGCAUGAGAUAAGGCAUACAGAACAGUUUCUUUCCCUUCUUUCUUUUUUUUUUUUUUGUCCGAGCAAUACAUAUCUGCAAAAGAUAGACUCAAAAGUCCCAGUAUUCAGAACUUCUGCUAUGCAGUCGAUCCAGCUGAAAAGCGAACAAACAAACAAACAAAAAAAGAAAAAAGAAAAAAGAAAAAAGAGAGAGAGAGAGAGAAACCUUUCUGAAAUCACACUUAGUAAUUUUCCAGCAGAUCUACAAAAGGAAGCUUUUAUUCUUUUGGUUGUGCAUGUCUCCUCAGAAAGCAAAAGGCCUCAUCUGAUACCGAAACAGGUCACGCUGGUUAUUUAAAUUUUGGUUGUGAGAACACUUGCUCAUGUGUCCUUCCCUGCUCAAG